rnacentral:rRNA from 1 species
GACGUAGGGCGCGAGCGUUGUCCGGAUUUAUUGGGCGUAAAGAGCUCGUAGGCGGCUUGUCGCGUCGACUGUGAAAUCCCGCGGCUCAACUGCGGGUCUGCAGUCGAUACGGGCAGGCUAGAGUUCGGUAGGGGAGACUGGAAUUCCUGGUGUAGCGGUGAAAUGCGCAGAUAUCGGGAGGAACACCGGUGGCGAAGGCGGUUCUCUGGGCCUGUACUGACGCUGAGGAGCGAAAGCGUGGGGAGCGAACAGG